UACGAAGGGGGCUAGCGUUGCUCGGAAUCACUGGGCGUAAAGCGCACGUAGGCGGAUGUGUCAGUCAGGGGUGAAAUCCCGGAGCUCAACUCCAGAACUGCCUUUGAUACUGAAGAUCUUGAGUUCGGGAGAGGUGAGUGGAACUGCGAGUGUAGAGGUGAAAUUCGUAGAUAUUCGCAAGAACACCAGUGGCGAAGGCGGCUCACUGGCCCGGUACUGACGCUGAGGUGCGAAAGCGUGGGGAGCAAACAGGG
rnacentral:rRNA from 1 species